rnacentral:rRNA from 1 species
GGGAAACAGGUUAAUAUUCCUGUACUUGGUGUUACUGCGAAGGGGGGACGGAGAAGGCUAUGUUGGCCGGGCGACGGUUGUCCCGGUUUAAGCGUGUAGGCUGGUUUUCCAGGCAAAUCCGGAAAAUCAAGGCUGAGGCGUGAUGACGAGGCACUACGGUGCUGAAGCAACAAAUGCCCUGCUUCCAGGAAAAGCCUCUAAGCAUCAGGUAACAUCAAAUCGUACCCCAAACCGACACAGGUGGUCAGGUAGAGAAUACUAAGGCGAUCGAGAGAAUCAUGGUUAAGGAACUCGGCAAAAUGACCCCGUAACUUCGGGAGAAGGGGUGCUCUUUAGGGUUAACGCCCAGAAGAGCCGCAGUGAAUAGGCCCAAGCGACUGUUUAUCAAAAACACAGGUCUCUGCUAAACCGUAAGGUGAUGUAUAGGGGCUGACGCCUGCCCGGUGCUGGAAGGUUAAGAGGAGUGGUUAGCUUCU